rnacentral:lncRNA from 1 species
UCUGGUCACUCACAGCUACACAAGCAUUCAGCCACUGUGAUAGUCCACAUGAAGUCUUCAGACCGAUCAGCUCUCUACGAAAGUGCUAGCUCGAGCAGUCGGCUUCUGAUGGCAGAUCUGAUUUGAUCUUUUCCUUCGAUUGUCUCAAACUUUUUCGAUAUCGAAGAUGGAUCAAAAGGGAUGUUGGAUGGUGGAAAAAAAUUUAAUGAAAACUCUCUUCUUUUCGGUUUUUCUCUCAUCCAAAAUCUUAGAAUAGUUCUAGGUCGCUUACCCGAGAGGAGAUCUGUCUCCUCUUUUGUUCAUGCCAAGGAAGAAGGAAACCCACCCAAACCUCACACCCC